AGUAACAAUCCGCUGUUGAGUUUGAAAGAUUUUAUCCAAUCAGAAGUAUCCUUGCUCGUCAGAAUACCAGUCGAAGCCCUGCAACUAGUUUGCGAGCCACAACACAUCACCAAAAACGUACCUUGCUUACCCAUGUAUACUCCAUACACAGCGGCUCAUUGUAUCCUUAGGAAUGUUCUUGAAAAUUUGUGCUGGAGGAAUAUGUCUCUCAGUGCGCUAGAAGAGCUGAUGCCAUCACCUCCAAUAGAUUUCAAUGUGGACCAUCUAAUCGAAAGCAGUAAGUCGUUAGAGCUAAACAACCAGUUGAAGUUGGAAGAACGCAUCUCUGUUUUUGAAGAAGUGUGCAAUGAAGGAGAACAGAAUAUUCAGCAGGCUACAAAAUUGAUUCUCUUUUUGAAACAACCGCCUGUAGAGAACUUCAUACCAGAGUCAAUUAUAUUAGAUGGCCUCAAUUUCAAUUCGUGGAAGCCAAUAAUCUUAGAGUAUCUCAAGGAAAAACUCUUGGAUUAACAUGGAAGCUCCAGUGCCCUCUUGUUUUUAAGUAUUACAUUAAUUUUUACCAGUGUCUUGUUGAUUUGUUAAAGGUUUUCCAAUAUUUUGUAAAUUUUUAUUUUUGUAAUUUUGUAAGAUUGUUUUAAUAUUGUGACAAUUUUGUUAACGACAAGGUGGCUACAGGUCAAAUUUCGACCAAUGUCACUAAAAGUCAGGUAUUUCUCAUAAAACCUCAUUUUGCAGGCAUUAUUUUGUGUAUUAUAUUCUACAUCAUAUCAAAUAACCAAUAGUAUGGUUACAAUUGGACGUAUUUCUAUCAAACAGAACUAUGUGCAGGUGAGAAAGAUGGGGUCUGCUUGUAAGUGCUCGGGCCAUAAGAAUGAAUGGGAAAUAUAAAGCGCCACUGACGAAGCCGUCGUCGCGGCUCCUUGUAGUGGUAAUUAACUCAUGAGCCCUGUUCACAACGCUCUAGACACAUGCCCAUGGCUCAUGGGUGCCGCAUUCAGUUGGCACACAAUUCCGUUUGCUGAAUUGGAAAAGCAGGAUUUUACCUUCUAUCAAGGUUAACUAUGUGCAAAUGCCAUGGGUAUGUGUCUAAGGCGUUGUGAACAGGGCUCAUGAGUUAAUGACCACUACAAGAAGUCGCGGAGACAGCUUCGUCACCGGCACUUUAUAUUUCCCAUUAGGGUGGUUCAAAAAAACCGAAGUGUCUCAGAUGUUAUCUCUGGUGUGAUAAAUAUUCCCAUUCAUUCUUAUGGCCCGAGCACUAACGAGCACACCCCAUCAUUCCCACCUGCACAUAGUUCUGUUUGAUAGAAAUGCGUCCAAUUGAGGUGCUGGAUGUGAGAAGAGUUUUUCUGGAUUACAGUGUUUCAGAAUUACCACUAAUACUUCAUUCAUGGUAAGGAAAGCAAUUGCAUGAAUUUCAUUAAACAAUUUUUCUGAAUAUUCUUCAUGACUCAGCCAUGUUCUGCAAGUAACCCAUUAAAUUAUUCUCUGAGACAUAAAUUAGUGACAGAGACUGAAACUCCACAUCUGAGAAAUUACCUCUUCACACCAAGCACUUCAAUUAACAAGUACAGGGAGAGUCAGAAUAUUUUACUCAAUCACUAUAAAUAAAUACAAAGUCAGGGCAAAAACUGCUUACUUCAACCUUAGAUAGUCUUGGCCACAAAUCGACAGUAAAACUACAUUUGAAAAAUAAAGGGUGACAGGAAGUCUGCAACGUUGCAGACUGAGAUACUUAUUUGGCUUAGAAAUUUCAUCAUCGAAAUGUCAUGACAUGUGAGUGUAUACAAAAUAAGAGACACUGUCGCCAAAAAGCAAAUUUUUCAGGAAAAUAAUUCGUAUCAAUAACUGAUGAUUAGUAAAAAAAAUUAAAGUUUUAGUUAUUGUCAAAGAAUGCUCUCUUCUACAUUAAAAAAACGAGCUGCAAGCGUAGGGAUGAUGGCCAAAGUGCGAAACCGCGUAGCUCCGUUUGCAACGUUGCAGACUUCCACUUCCAGUCAUACUUAAUUUUUUCCUCGGAAAACUAGUCAACGUAUUAUCAUGACAACUUUGAUCCUUGAUUUUUCUUCUCUGUUAGUAGAAUAUAUUCUGUCUACAUUUCAAGCCAUGAAGUUGACUUAUUCCCUUUCGAAAAAAUAAAGGAGCAGAUAUUUUUAAACACCCCCAUUGAUAUUCUUCUUAUUUGGAUUCAUUUUUCAAUGGUGAAACUGCAAGAAUGCGUAACUCGGUUUGCAGCAUUGCAUGUAGAUUUCCUGUCAUAUUUCAGUUUCCAUGUAGAAAACCACCGAAUAGCAUCAUUUUUUGAUAAUUGCAGUGAUUUUUCUAUUCUUUAUGAGAAAUAUUCUGUGAACACUUCGAGCCAUGACGUUGAUUCGGUCCUCUUUUCAAAAGUAAAAUAGUAGCGGAGAUUUCCCAACACUGCAACCGAGAUAGGUACACAUUUUUGCAGUUCCACCCUGACACUCGAUUUACAGAAUUAUUCAAAAGUCACGCACCACUGGCCAUAACUUUAAUUCUAAUUAUGCUAUCGACUUGCGGUUUAAGACGUUUUUCCUCAUAUCAAGGGGAAACUUUUUUAGGUACUUUCCAGUUUUUGAACCCCUCCGUGGGGAGGGGGGCAACUCAAAAAUUUCAAAUGGCCACUCCCCUCAUGGCCAGUGGUGCGUGACUUUUGAAU
rnacentral:lncRNA from 1 species